rnacentral:rRNA from 1 species
UCAGUGAAAUUGAACUCGCUGUGAAGAUGCAGUGUACCCGCGGCAAGACGGAAAGACCCCGUGAACCUUUACUAUAGCUUGACACUGAACAUUGAGCCUUGAUGUGUAGGAUAGGUGGGAGGCUUUGAAGUGUGGACGCCAGUCUGCAUGGAGCCGACCUUGAAAUACCACCCUUUAAUGUUUGAUGUUCUAACGUUGGCCCGUAAUCCGGGUUGCGGACAGUGUCUGGUGGGUAGUUUGACUGGGGCGGUCUCCUCCUAAAGAGUAACGGAGGAGCACGAAGGUUGGCUAAUCCUGGUCGGACAUCAGGAGGUUAGUGCAAUGGCAUAAGCCAGCUUGACUGCGAGCGUGACGGCGCGAGCAGGUGCGAAAGCAGGUCAUAGUGAUCCGGUGGUUCUGAAUGGAAGGGCCAUCGCUCAACGGAUAAAAGGUACUCCGGGGAUAACAGGCUGAUACCGCCCAAGAGUUCAUAUCGACGGCGGUGUUUGGCACCUCGAUGUCGGCUCAUCACAUCCUGGGGCUGAAGUAGGUCCCAAGGGUAUGGCUGUUCGCCAUUUAAAGUGGUACGCGAGCUGGGUUUAGAACGUCGUGAGACAGUUCGGUCCCUAUCUGCCGUGGGCGCUGGAGAACUGAGGGGGGCUGCUCCUAGUACGAGAGGACCGGAGUGGACGCAUCACUGGUGUUCGGGUUGUCAUGCCAAUGGCACUGCCCGGUAGCUAAAUGCGGAAGAGAUAAGUGCUGAAAGCAUCUAAGCACGAAACUUGCCCCGAGAUGAGUUCUCCCUGACUCCUUGAGAGUCCUGAAGGAACGUUGAAGACGACGACGUUGAUAGGCCGGGUGUGUAAGCGCAGCGAUGCGUUGAGCUAACCGGUACUAAUGAACCGUGAGGCUUAACCUU